GAUGAACGCUGGCGGCGUGCCUAAUACAUGCAAGUCGAGCGAACAGACGAGGAGCUUGCUCCUCUGACGUUAGCGGCGGACGGGUGAGUAACACGUGGAUAACCUACCUAUAAGACUGGGAUAACUUCGGGAAACCGGAGCUAAUACCGGAUAACAUGUUGAACCGCAUGGUUCAACAGUGAAAGACGGUCUUGCUGUCACUUAUAGAUGGAUCCGCGCCGCAUUAGCUAGUUGGUAAGGUAACGGCUUAACAAGGCAACGAUGCGUAGCCGACCUGAGAGGGUGAUCGGCCACACUGGAACUGAGACACGGUCCAGACUCCUACGGGAGGCAGCAGUAGGGAAUCUUCCGCAAUGGGCGAAAGCCUGACGGAGCAACGCCGCGUGAGUGAAGAAGGUCUUCGGAUCGUAAAACUCUGUUAUUAGGGAAGAACAAAUGUGUAAGUAACUAUGCACGUCUUGACGGUACCUAAUCAGAAAGCCACGGCUAACUACGUG
rnacentral:rRNA from 1 species